rnacentral:rRNA from 1 species
GACGAACGCUGGCGGCGUGCCUAAUACAUGCAAGUCGAACGCUGAAGGAGGAGCUUGCUUCUCUGGAUGAGUUGCGAACGGGUGAGUAACGCGUAGGUAACCUGCCUGGUAGCGGGGGAUAACUAUUGGAAACGAUAGCUAAUACCGCAUAAUAGCAGUUGUUGCAUGACAACUGUUUGAAAGGUGCAAUUGCACCACUACCAGAUGGACCUGCGUUGUAUUAGCUAGUUGGUGGGGUAACGGCUCACCAAGGCGACGAUACAUAGCCGACCUGAGAGGGUGAUCGGCCACACUGGGACUGAGACACGGCCCAGACUCCUACGGGAGGCAGCAGUAGGGAAUCUUCGGCAAUGGACGGGAGUCUGACCGAGCAACGCCGCGUGAGUGAAGAAGGUUUUCGGAUCGUAAAGCUCUGUUGUAAGAGAAGAACGAGUGUGAGAGUGGAAAGUUCACACUGUGACGGUAUCUUACCAGAAAGGGACGGCUAACUACGUG